GACGAACGCUGGCGGCGUGCUUAACACAUGCAAGUCGAACGGAAAGGCCCUGCUUUUGUGGGGUGCUCGAGUGGCGAACGGGUGAGUAACACGUGAGUAACCUGCCCUUGACUUUGGGAUAACUUCAGGAAACUGGGGCUAAUACCGGAUAGGAGCUCCUGCUGCAUGGUGGGGGUUGGAAAGUUUCGGCGGUUGGGGAUGGACUCGCGGCUUAUCAGCUUGUUGGUGGGGUAGUGGCUUACCAAGGCUUUGACGGGUAGCCGGCCUGAGAGGGUGACCGGCCACAUUGGGACUGAGAUACGGCCCAGACUCCUACGGGAGGCAGCAGUGGGGAAUAGUGCACAAUGGGCGGAAGCCUGAUGCAGCAACGCCGCGUGCGGGAUGACGGCCUUCGGGUUGUAAACCGCUUUCGCCUGUGGCGAAGCGUGAGUGACGGUAAUGGGUAAAGAAGCACCGGCUAACUACGUG
rnacentral:rRNA from 1 species